rnacentral:rRNA from 1 species
AUGUCCGGAUCCGGCACGCAGGGCAAGUGGAUGGCUUCCUCCGUUACUGAGAGGAAUGUCAAGGAACUCCGGGAAGCGGGCUACUUGGCCAUGGACAUCGCGCAUCGGCUUCCAGCCAAAAAGCAGAUCGUCCCUACUCCAGAGCCUAAUGAGAGGGUAGUGUUCAUCCCCCACUCUCUCUGCGGACUAGGGUUUCCCCUCCAUCCUUUCGUCCGCGGCCUCAUGUUCUAUUACGGGCUAGAUUUCCAUGAUCUCUCCCCAAAUUCCUUCCUCAAGAUUUCGGCAUUCAUCAUCGUGUGUGAAGCGUUCCUCCGCAUCCCCCCUCCCAUUUCGGCCUAUGGCUCAAGGUCUUCAAUGUGA